rnacentral:lncRNA from 1 species
AGUGGCCCGUUUCAUAUGCAAAGGGGUUGGAGAAGAGUUCAGCGAACUCAUACGAUGGUGGCAUACAGAGGAAACAAAAACAAGAGUUAGCCAGCUAUAAAUUUUCUGGUGGAAAUGAAUCACAACUUCUAAAAAUAUAAAACUAGAGCUCAACACUAUAACGACAAAAAUUCAAACAAGCAAGAUUAUAAUAGUCAUAAUAUAUAUCUCCCUUGGAGCAAAAUGAUAUUACCCACCCGUGGAAUAUGCCAUUCAAUUAGUAACCAAAAGAAAAAAAAAUCACAUAAAACAAAAAAUAAAAUAAAAUCCCUUAAUAACAUAUCUAAGCACCUGGAUACUUAUUCUUGAGUAUAAGUACAGAAUUAGCCAUUAUAAGAAAUAUAUAUAUUUAUAGAUACUUAUCACUAAACAUCUAUGCAAAUUAAAAUCAAAAUAUGCACAUUAACCCACAUAUCAC